rnacentral:pre_miRNA from 1 species
CUUGUACUCCCUCCGUCCAAAAAUACUUGUCAUUGAAAUGGAUGUAUCUAGAUGUAUUUUAGUUCUAGACACAUCCAUUUUGAUGACAAGUAAUUCCGGGCGGAGGGAGUACUUA